rnacentral:rRNA from 1 species
CAGUAGCCGCGGUAAUACGUAGGGUGCAAGCGUUAAUCGGAAUUACUGGGCGUAAAGCGUGCGCAGGCGGUUAUAUAAGUCAGAUGUGAAAUCCCCGGGCUCAACCUGGGAACUGCAUUUGAAACUGUAUGGCUAGAGUGUGUCAGAGGGGGAUGGAAUUCCGCGUGUAGCAGUGAAAUGCGUAGAUAUGCGGAGGAACACCGAUGGCGAAGGCAAUCCCCUGGACCUGUACUGACGCUCAUGCACGAAAGCGUGGGGAGCAAACAGGAUUAGAUACCCCCGUAGUCCCUGUCUCUUAUAA